GAAGGAUUUGACACUAAAUCUCGUAAAAUUUUGAGGUGUUUUUCGUCCUGUUUCUUCCUAGCGGAAGCCAUGUUGCAGAUAUUUCAAAAUGGACACCUUUCCGAUAUAAAAGUGUUGAAGUGUUACCGUGAUCGACAUUAUUUCAAAAUUUGAUAUCGUCUGCGUCUGACCUUCGGUGUUGGAGGGAGUCGAUUGUGUUGGCAGCGUUUCUUGAGGAAGCGCCAACAAAGUGGAAUUCAAGCGUGUUGUUCGGAGGUUCGGAAUAGCUCCUAGCUCACUUGGCAUGAAGAUCUAAAGACCCCAACCCAGGGUCGUUUGAAAGAGGUGGCAAGUUGGUGAAGGUCGUGAAAAUUGGAAUAAGGCUUCCAAGCUUGUUUCAAGUGCCUCUUCACAUUUAUGUCUUUGUUAUUUUAGUGUAAAAUUCCCAACACUUGCUCAGUGUAAAAGGGAACAGAAAAAGGAAAAGCGGACAGAUUGUAGCUACUUUGACGGGUAAAAUAUGGAAAAAUAAAGUUUUGGAAUCUGUCAGAA